UUAUGGCCAUAUCAUGCUGAAACAGCGGUUCACAUCCAAUCACUGAAAUUAAGCAAUAUUGAGCCUGGUCAGUACCUAGAUGGGUGACUGCUUGAGAAUACCAGGUGCUGUAA